rnacentral:rRNA from 1 species
UACGUAGGGGGCAAGCGUUGUCCGGAUUUAUUGGGCGUAAAGCGCUCGCAGGUGGUUCAUUGUGUCGUGCGUGAAAGACCCCGGCUCAACUGGGGAGGGUCGUGCGAAACGGGUGAACUAGAGGCCAGUAGGGGGAUGCGGAAUUCCGGGUGUAGUGGUGGAAUGCGUAGAGAUCCGGAGGAACACCAGCGGCGAAGGCGGCAUCCUGGACUGGUCCUGACACUCAGGAGCGAAAGCGUGGGGAGCGAUCCGG